CCUCCUGGAGCAGGUGUUUCUUCCUGGAGGCCAAAGAGCAGAAUCCGCCUGCUGUCCUAUACCCUGCCCGAGCAGCCCUGAGAACCGCAAGAAGUGCACCAGCGAGGGAACAUCUGCAUCAACAGCUGGUGAGGCUUGCGUUCUGGCUGUAACCCCAUGAGAGACUGCGUGUCAUCUUAUUUAGCCCAUGACUGACCAAUUGCACUCUCUGUCAUGGUGAAGCUGUGUAUUUGUGCUGUCCCGUAGGGGAGCCAUUAGCCCCAUGGGGCUAUUGAGCACUUGAAACGUACCUUGUACGAUGCACGAUGCUCACAUCUGAAACAAGCAAACCAGCAUAACCAGAUACCCCCGGGGGCCACCUGCAGGAAUUCUCAGGGGGGACUCUCAGUAAGAGCAGCUCUGGGUCAGGUUUGCUGUCACUUGCGACCAGAAGAACACUGACGAUUCAUCAGAGCCUGGUGACUGAGAGAGUGUGCCCUCUGAGGCCAGCUGCCAGGAGCGCUGGCCUCAGCUCUGGGAGCAGCUGCUCUGACUGGAAGCCUCUGGGAAGAGAAGGGGCAUCUAGGAGACUGGGCGGGGUCAGAUGU